CACGUAGGGGCCAAGCGUUGUCCGGAUUCAUUGGGCGUAAAGAGCUCGUAGGCGGUUCAGUCCGUCGGGUGUGAAAUCUCCGGGCUCACCCCGGAGGGGCCACCCGAUACUGCUGUGACUCGAGUCCGGUAGGGGAGUGGGGAAUUCCUGGUGUAGCGGUGAAAUGCGCAGAUAUCAGGAGGAACACCGGUGGCGAAGGCGCCACUCUGGGCCGGUACUGACGCUGAGGAGCGAAAGCGUGGGUAGCAAACAGG
rnacentral:rRNA from 1 species